rnacentral:rRNA from 1 species
GAGAGUUUGAUCCUGGCUCAGGAUGAACGCUAGCGGGAGGCCUAACACAUGCAAGCCGAGCGGUAGAUUGCUUUCGGGCAAUUGAGAGCGGCGUACGGGUGCGGAACACGUGUGCAACCUGCCUUUAUCUGGGGGAUAGCCUUUCGAAAGGAAGAUUAAUACCCCAUAAUAUAAGAGACGGCAUCGUUUUUUAUUGAAAACUCCGGUGGAUAGAGAUGGGCACGCGCAAGAUUAGAUAGUUGGUGAGGUAACGGCUCACCAAGUCGACGAUCUUUAGGGGGCCUGAGAGGGUGAUCCCCCACACUGGUACUGAGACACGGACCAGACUCCUACGGGAGGCAGCAGUGAGGAAUAUUGGACAAUGGGUGAAAGCCUGAUCCAGCCAUCCCGCGUGAAGGACGACGGCCCUAUGGGUUGUAAACUUCUUUUGUAUAGGGAUAAACCUUUCCACGUGUGGAAAGCUGAAGGUACUAUACGAAUAAGCACCGGCUAACUCCGUGCCAGCAGCCGCGGUAAUACGGAGGGUGCAAGCGUUAUCCGGAUUUAUUGGGUUUAAAGGGUCCGUAGGCUGAUUUGUAAGUCAGUGGUGAAAUCUCACAGCUUAACUGUGAAACUGCCAUUGAUACUGCAAGUCUUGAGUGUUGUUGAAGUAGCUGGAAUAAGUAGUGUAGCGGUGAAAUGCAUAGAUAUUACUUAGAACACCAAUUGCGAAGGCAGGUUACUAAGCAACAACUGACGCUGAUGGACGAAAGCGUGGGGAGCGAACAGGAUUAGAUACCCUGGUAGUCCACGCCGUAAACGAUGCUAACUCGUUUUUGGGGCGCAAGCUUCAGAGACUAAGCGAAAGUGAUAAGUUAGCCACCUGGGGAGUACGAACGCAAGUUUGAAACUCAAAGGAAUUGACGGGGGCCCGCACAAGCGGUGGAUUAUGUGGUUUAAUUCGAUGAUACGCGAGGAACCUUACCAAGGCUUAAAUGGGAAAUGACAGGCUUAGAAAUAGGCUUUUCUUCGGACAUUUUUCAAGGUGCUGCAUGGUUGUCGUCAGCUCGUGCCGUGAGGUGUUAGGUUAAGUCCUGCAACGAGCGCAACCCCUGUCACUAGUUGCCAUCAUUAAGUUGGGGACUCUAGUGAGACUGCCUACGCAAGUAGAGAGGAAGGUGGGGAUGACGUCAAAUCAUCACGGCCCUUACGCCUUGGGCCACACACGUAAUACAAUGGCCGGUACAGAGGGCAGCUACACAGCGAUGUGAUGCAAAUCUCGAAAGCCGGUCUCAGUUCGGAUUGGAGUCUGCAACUCGACUCUAUGAAGCUGGAAUCGCUAGUAAUCGCGCAUCAGCCAUGGCGCGGUGAAUACGUUCCCGGGCCUUGUACACACCGCCCGUCAAGCCAUGGAAGUCUGGGGUACCUGAAGUCGGUGACCGUAAAAGGAGCUGCCUAGGGUAAAACAGGUAACUAGGGCUAAGUCGUAACAAGGUAGCCGUACCGGAAGGUGCGGCUGGAACAUCUCAU